rnacentral:rRNA from 1 species
UACGAAGGGGGCGAGCGUUGUUCGGAUUUACUGGGCGUAAAGGGCGCGCAGGCGGUCUUGAAAGUCAGGCGUGAAAGCCCCGGGCUUAACCUGGGAAUUGCGCUUGAUACUCUGAGACUGGAGUACGGGAGAGGAGAGUGGAAUUCCCAGUGUAGAGGUGAAAUUCGUAGAUAUUCGGAGGAACACCAGUGGCGAAGGCGGCUCACUGGCUCGGUACUGACGCUGAGGUGCGAAAGCGUGGGGAGCAAACAGG